rnacentral:lncRNA from 1 species
GUGGUUUUGAAGGGGCUUUUUAAAAAUACAGUGUAUAUUUUCAAAAUACCCUGGGGACAUUUUUUUCACCAUAAGAUAUAAAAUGAUCUUUAAGUGUUCAGAUGUUCAGGAAACAGCAGAGAAAGAGGCACAGUUUUAUUUAGAAAUAGUUACUAUUUUGGAUAGAUUCCUUGUUACUUGGGCAUUCUUUUCAUUCAUUGAAGCUGGAUUUUUAAAUUUUAUAUUGCUGCUAUUUUUAAAAUACAUUUUAUUUAUUUUUUUUGCAGAUCCGGAGUUCUGUAACUCACUUGUUGUGUGCAUCAAAAGAUUUCAGUUGGUGGCGUCAUAGUCUCAUUACAGUGUCUAUCUUGGCAUUUACCAAUUUACUUGUCAUCUUUGUCCCAACUAUUAGGGAUAUCUUUGGUUUUAUUGGUGCAUCUGCAGCUUCUAUGUUGAUUUUUAUUCUUCCUUCUGCCUUCUAUAUCAAGUUGGUGAAGAAAGAACCUAUGAAAUCUGUACAAAAGAUUGGGGCUUUGUUCUUCCUGUUAAGUGGUGUACUGGUGAUGACCGGAAGCAUGGCCUUGAUUGUUUUGGAUUGGGUACACAAUGCACCUGGAGGUGG